UACAGAGGGUGCAAGCGUUGUUCGGAAUUAUUGGGCGUAAAGCGCGUGUAGGCGGCUUUGCAAGUCGGGUGUGAAAGCCCCCAGCUUAACUGGGGAAGUGCGCUCGAAACUGCAGAGCUUGAGUACCGGAGAGGAUGGCGGAAUUCCCCAAGUAGAGGUGAAAUUCGUAGAUAUCGGGAGGAACACCAGUGGCGAAGGCGGCGAUCUGGGAAGAUACUGACGCUGAGGUGCGAAAGCGUGGGGAGCAAACAGG
rnacentral:rRNA from 1 species